GAGAGCAUGAAUAUGGACAAUGUGGAGAAAAUGAACAGGUCAAGUGUUGUAAUUGUGGCGGGAAUCACACAGCAGCGUAUGGGGGCUGCAUCAUAAGAAAACAGGCAACAGAAGUACAGCAAAUCAGAGUUGAAAGAAAUAUUACAAACGCAGAGGCAGUUAAAAUAAGAAAUCAAGAAAGUGCAGAACAGGACAGAAGUGAAAAUAGUUCAAGAAAUAAAAAACAAGAGGCAGCAAAUACAGGAAUUUCCAUGGACAAACUAGUUGUAGUCCUGGCUUACGUAAUAAACUGUACAGAACAGGCUAGAAACAAGACUGAGAAAAUCAAAAUAAUUGUCAAAGCAGCAGCAAAGUUUUUAAAUUUAAAAGAACUAUCCUGGGAACAGGUGCACGGUGAGCUACAGAGAGUAGACGAGACCGAGUCAUGUUACCACAAUCCAACGCCAUGUUAAUUGUUCAGUGGAAUGCCAGAAGUUUGAUAGCAAAUGGACAGGAAUUAAAGGGAUGUAUUAAUAAUAUGAAAAAUAAACCACAUAUAAUAUGAAUUCAAGAAACAUGGCUGAAGCCGAAAUUAAACUUUAUAAUAAAAGGAUAUAUAAAGAUACGUAAAGAUAGGAAUGAUGGGCAAGGAGGAGGAUGUGCCAUAUUUAUUAAGGAAGAUAUGCAUUAUUCAAUAUUAAAAGUAAAACAAGAACUAGAGAUAGUAGGAGUAGAAGUAUGGAAUAAUAAAGAAAGAUACAAAGUACUAAACUUCUAUAAUCCAUGCAAGAAAUUAGAAAUUCACCAACUAGAAACAAUAAUCGAGCACUGGAUUGGCAAUAUUAUUUGGUGUGGUGACUUUAAUGCACAUAGCACAAUGUGGGGUGAAAGGGAUGACUGGAAUGGGGAUACAUUGGAAGCACUUUUGGAGGAAAAAGAACUGGUGUGUGCGAAUGAUUGGUCGGGAACAAGGUUGGAUGUCGUCACGGGUAAAGAAACAGCAAUAGAUUUAACACUAGUGUCACAAGGGUUAGCAGGAAAGGUGGAGUGGGAAGUAAAUAAAUACAGCACAAUGGGAAGUGAUCACUAUCCAAUCUUCAUUCACAUAAACAUAAAUCAUAGGACAGAAAGCUCUAGGAUAGAAGGAAGAUGGAAGUAUAAUCAUGGUGACUGGGGGAAAUUUAGGGAAAUUACCGACAUAACUUUAAAGGAAGUAGAUAUAAAUCAAGAUAUUGAACAAUUAAAUACAGAUAUUACAAAGUGCAUAAUAGAAGCAGCCGAACAGAGCAUACCAAGGAAUAGUAUAGGGAGAAGAAGGAAGAUAGUGCCGUGGUGGACACAAGAGUGCACAGAUGCAAUACAAGAACGGAAUAGAGCAUUUAGAAUACUGAGAAGAACACAUAAUUUCCAAGAGUAAGGUAUGUUAGAGUAGCUAGAGUAAGGUAUGUUAUUAAAAAACAAGAAAACACCAUUGGAGAACUUUUUGUGAAACACUAAAUAGAACUACUCCUUUAAGCCAAGUGUGGGGAAUGAUCAAGAGAAUGUCAGGGGUCAGAAAAGAACAUAAAAAUCAUGUGAUGAAAGAUGGAACGCGGAGUGUGGUAGGAAAUAAAGAAAAAGCAGAACUUUUAGCAAAAACCUUUGUUAAAGUGCACAGUAAUGAUAAUUUGAGAAAUGUAGAAAAACAAAAGAGAGAAGAAACAAUUAGUUUAAAUAUUAAGGAAAUGAAGGAAGACAACGAUAAUAGUUUUACCAACACUAUGGAUAUGACAUUUUCUUUGGAUGAAAUGGUUCGAAUUUUAAAAAAAGUUAAAAAUACGACGCCAGGGAAAGACCUGGUGAGUUAUCAAAUGAUCAAAAAUGUACGUAGCAUCGGCAAAGAAGUGGUCCUGAAAUUAUAUAAUAGGAUAUAUGAAGAAGGAAAAUUACCAGAUGAGUGGAAAACAGCUGUAAUAAUUCCAAUAUGCAAGCCAGGGAAAGAUCCGGAAGAGGCAGGAAAUUAUAGGCCGAUAGCAUUGACCUCAAAUUUGGGAAAAGUAAUGGAAAAAAUGAUUAAUGAAAGAUUAAUAUAUUAUUUAGAGUCAAAAGAAAUUAUAAAAAACUACCAAAGUGGUUUUCGCAAAGCAAGAAGCACAAAUGACCCAGCAGUGCAGCUGGAAGAGGAAAUUAGAAAGGGACAAAUAAAUAAAGAAAGUAUAAUUGCGGUAUUUUUUGACAUAGAAAAAGCGUAUGAUAUGUUGUGGAAACAGGGGUUGCUGAUGAAACUAAAUAAGAUUGGGAUUAGAGGAAGAAUGUACAGAUGGAUAAAAGACUUUUUAACAAGUAAAACAUUAUUAGUAAAAAUAGAGAAUGAAUAUAGCAGAGAAUACGAAGUGGAAAAUGGGACCCCACAAGGGAGUAUAAUAAGUCCAGUACUAUUUUCCAUCAUGAUAAAUGAAGUUUUUAGUGAAGUGGAAGGGUUAGUGGAGGUGGCAUUGUUUGCUGAUGAUGGAGUGAUGUGGAAGAGAGGUAGAAAUACAAAACAUAUAGAAAAGAAGAUUCAAAAAGCGGUAAAUAAUGUUCAAGACUGGGGGAUGGCUUGGGGUUUAAGAUUCUCUGUUGGAAAGACAAAAGUCAUACAUUUUACGAAGAGGAAAGUACAAAACAAGCUCCAAAUAAAACUCUAUGGAGAAAACAUAGAAGAGGUACAAGUAUUUAAAUAUUUAGGAAUAUGGUUUGAUAAAAAUAUUAACUGGUCAACCCACAUCAGCAAAAUAGUGGAGAAAAGUAAAAAGGUGUUAAAUAUAAUGAGGGCUUUGAGGGGUAAAGAUUGGGGGGCUGAUAGGUUGACAUUGAAAACAAUAUAUAUCACUUUAAUUUGAUCUGUUAUUGACUACGGAUGCAUUAUUUAUCAAUCUGCUUCAAAAACACUACUUGGGAAAAUAGACCGGAUCCAGUCGCAGGCGUUAAGGUCAUGUUGCGGAGCUACUAAAUCUACUCCAGUGGCAGCAUUACAAGUAGAAAUGAACGAAAAACCUUUGGACAUGAGGAGAGAUCAACUCUCAGCAGUGUAAUGGGCAAACUUAAAAGGAUCCAAGCAAGGACAUCCAACCCGUCAAGUGCUAAUAAACUGCCAAGAAAAAGAGAAGAAAAAAAAUGAAUAGUUUUGGGUGGAUAAUAGGAGAUAUAUGUAUCAAAGCACAAAUUGACAAUAUUAAAGUUAGCCCCACACUACCAAUUCCUGCAAUACCACCGUGGAUGUAUGACAACCCAAAGGUAAACAUGCAAUUACUGAAGAAUAGACAUCUAAAUAGUUACCAGAUAGAACAUUGGAUUGAGGAAAUGUUUUUUGAUAACAUCAUGAUAUUCACAGAUGCAUCAAAAACUAUAAAUAGUAAAGUAGGAGCUGCUGUAGUUAUCCCACAAGGAAAUAUAGUGUUAAAUAAAAGAAUCAGUGAUAAACUAUCUGUUUUUACGGGGGAGUUGGUAGCAAUUUAUAUGGCAGUUAACUGGAUAGAGGAAAACAAAGCAAGGAAAGCAGUCGUGUGCUCGGACUCCAGCAGUGCAUUGACGAGCAUAAAAAACAUAGCAUCAGACACAAGACAAGAUAUAGUUUAUGAAAUAGUUCAGGCAAUCUGCAGGAUAAAUAAAGCGGGAGGUGUGGUAACAUUUCUCUGGGUUCCUGCUCAUGUAGGAGUUGAGGGAAAUGAGUUAGCUGAUAGAUACGCAAAACAAGCAACCACUAAAACAGAAGUAAAUAUGGAGAUUAAACACAGUAAAGAAGAAGUGAAGAGCAUAAUUAAGAUAGAACACAAUAAAAAGUGGCAGGAUAAUUGGAAUAAGGAAAUAAAAGGUAGAGAGUUUUACAAAGUCCAGAGGAGAGUAGGUGUAAUGAGAGGAGGGGGUAGAAAUAGGAAAGAAGAAGACAUUAUUACUAGAAUGAGGUUAGGACAUACAUAUCUAAAUAGUUCACUAAAAUUGAUAGGAAAACAUACUACAGGGCUGUGUGAUUUUUGCCAUCAAAUAGAGAAUGUUGACCAUGUUUUAAUACAAUGUAGGAAAUACAAUAGAGAAAGAGAAAUACUGGAAAAUAAGUUAGCAAAAGAAAAUAUUAGGUUAGAAGUGGGAAGUAUAUUAGGAUUGCAUUCAGAAAACAUAGGAUACAAAACAAUAUACACAUAUUUAAAAAACACUGGGUUAAAUAAAAGAAUAUAGAGUAGGGAUCCACCUCGGUCCACACUCCAUUACAGUAGGUGGCGGUAAUGCACACCAGAAGGUUGCUUGCCAACCGCCAUAAAAAUAAAAGAAGAAGAAGACCAGGAAGUGACGUAUAACAGUGCCGCCAAUAUGUCUGUGUGACGCAGCCAUGGACGAGCGUCCAAGUUGUCCCUUGUUGCAGUCUGCCAUUAAUAAAUGUUCCCGAAGGCUACGCGAUGUCUUACGUCUUGUCUUGAUGCUAUCACGCAAGUCGAGAAUUGGAACUAGAAUGAACGUAAUAUAAACGGACCAACCCUGUACCUUUUGUAGAAAACCUGUGAUCUUAAGAAAUGUAUGCUUACCUCCCGAUAACAGUAUGUGAAAUGUCUAAGGAGCCGUGGACGCAGCACAAGGGCUGAACAGCAGAUGCGGA